rnacentral:rRNA from 1 species
ACGCUGGCGGCAGGCUUAACACAUGCAAGUCGAACGGUAACAGGAAUUAGCUUGCUAAUUUGCUGACGAGUGGCGGACGGGUGAGUAAUGCUUGGGAAUCUGGCUUAUGGAGGGGGAUAACUACGGGAAACUGUAGCUAAUACCGCGUAAAAUCUUCGGAUUAAAGGGUGGGACUUUCGAGCCACCUGCCAUAAGAUGAGCCCAAGUGGGAUUAGGUAGUUGGUUAGGUAAAGGCUGACCAAGCCGACGAUCUCUAGCUGGUCUGAGAGGAUGACCAGCCACACUGGAACUGAGACACGGUCCAGACUCCUACGGGAGGCAGCAGUGGGGAAUAUUGCACAAUGGGGGGAACCCUGAUGCAGCCAUGCCGCGUGAAUGAAGAAGGCCUUCGGGUUGUAAAGUUCUUUCGGUGACGAGGAAGGUUGAUAGGUUAAUAGCCUAUCAAAUUGACGUUAAUCACAGAAGAAGCACCGGCUAACUCCGUGCUAGCAGCCGCGGUAAUACGGGGGGUGCGAGCGUUAAUCGGAAUAACUGGGCGUAAAGGGCACGCAGGCGGUGACUUAAGUGAGAUGUGAAAGCCCCGAGCUUAACUUGGGAAUUGCAUUUCAUACUGGGUCGCUAGAGUACUUUAGGGAGGGGUAGAAUUCCACGUGUAGCGGUGAAAUGCGUAGAGAUGUGGAGGAAUACCGAAGGCGAAGGCAGCCCCUUGGGAAUGUACUGACGCUCAUGUGCGAAAGCGUGGGGAGCAAACAGGAUUAGAUACCCUGGUAGUCCACGCUGUAAACGAUGUCGAUUUGGGGAUUGGGCUUUGAGCUUGGUGCCCGUAGCUAACGUGAUAAAUCGACCGCCUGGGGAGUACGGCCGCAAGGUUAAAACUCAAAUGAAUUGACGGGGGCCCGCACAAGCGGUGGAGCAUGUGG